CAUCCUUGAAUUCCUAUUGGUGGAUGGGCGAAGAUGAAUCGCGAGAGGAGUCGAGGCAAGUGACAGUUAAUUUUUCAAACUGAGGAGUCCGCCAUUUCUGCUCGUUCAUACCCUAAGGUAAGUUAAGUUUUUACAUUUUUGAAAUGAUUUUACCGAAAUAUUUUGUAUUACAGUUAAUAUUUAUAUUUGUUAGAAUAGCCCUUGUGUUAAACACUGAUACUAGAAGCAAAUUUUACCUCAAAAACACUGGCGUGAAGCUCUGACGGGCUUCGUCAGCCAUCGGUUCUAGCCCUGUUAAAUUAAUUUUGCUCCGGUUUUUAAUUUAAUUAAGAUACAGUCUUCCUUUAUUUCCUUGUUAAUGUUAAUGGAAUUGUUAACUACAGUAAGAUAGCUGUGUUAUAAGGAGACGAGCUUCGAGUCAGAAGCGUGAAUUUUAACGUUCAUUUCAAUGAAGCGAGCACUCGUUGUUCAAAUAAACGGCGCCGAUUCAAAUAAAAGUCAGCCGGGUGGAAGACGGAGGUGAAUGAUUAUGUGAAAGUGUGUCGCAGUUUCACAUACAGGCCUACUCAUUUUGCGAUAACCAUGGUUGAUAAAUGGUCAGUAGAUGACACGUGCCACUGGCUUGAAACUAUAAACCUCAUUGAUGCAAAAGAAAGUUUCAGAGAUUCUGCAUGAAAUAACAAUGAGGUUUGGAACCGACUUGGCGAAGAACAUGGAAACAUCUCUGAAUGAAAUGGCCCCAAACAUCAUCAGGAGUGCAAAAGAAGGAAUACAAAAAAAAAAAAAAAAACUACGCCAAUCUCAUUGGACUAUCAGAGGAAACCACAGAAGGUCUCCUUAGGAAUGCUGCACUCAUUUUAUUGCCAGCACUAUUUAAAGAAAACGCCAGCUUCCUCUACUGUGUAGAUAGUGAACCCAAAGGUGCUACACCAACCAUAGUGUUUAACGGCUCUCCUGAUCCCCUCAAGGCUGAAAGUGUCAGCAUUAUAAUGGACAAUGUGAACAUCCUAAGAGAGGCAGACAUUGACAUGACACAGGCUGUGGAAUGCCUAUUUGCAGUCUAUUUUCUCUUCAAUGUGCAGUACCCGGUUGACAUUAAGCACACAAUGACUUUUAUUUAAAAAUAUAUGCUUAACCUUAGACAACAGCACGGCAAAAGAACACCAAUACCUGUACUGAAAAUGUAUAGUCAACUUGUGUAAAUUGUAGAGCUAUUUAAUAGUUGUUUUAACUGUUCAUGUAUUGAUUUUUAUCUGCACUGUUAAAUAUAAAAAAUGAUUUGUUUUUCCUCAUUUCAGAGAUAUAUGUAAAAGUGAAGUACUGUAUAUGUACGUAAACAAGCUUAUGUAUGUUUAUUGCAAAGUGAAAAUGCUUAAAUGAAAUAACUAAAUGGUUAAAUGUAAUUAGACAUCUUAAAUAUGAAAUUUGCUGUCUAAUACAGAGUAUACAGAGUUGUAAUUUUAAAUGACACUUAAUUUUUUAUAUAAACAGUUGAAUAAAUUUAAA